rnacentral:rRNA from 1 species
GGGCGCGGGGCGCUUGUCAAGUCCGUGCUAACCUCUCAGGUCAUUUACCACAUCAUCGCCCUUUGGCCUCCAUCGGGCACCCUGCUGAACAUCACAGAAUUGGAGAGGGCAUUCCUAUGGGCGGGCUCUAAUAAGACAACUGGGGCCAAGUGUAAGGUUAACUGGGGAUCAGUCUGUCGGCCGAUUGACCUCGGAGGGCUUUGUCCUGGACUUGGCUAA